GAAAUAAGAAAUAUCUUAUGUUCGAAAGAAUUAUUAUAUACUGGCUUUCUAUACAAUCGGCAUCCUCAAAUGGUCCGAGUACACAGUUAUCGUCCUUUGAUUUUUCGUUGUCCACGAAUAUAGUCCUUAGUGUGGACAGUGUGUUAUUUGUCAUUUUUUUUUAUACCCCUUCCAAAUGUAUUUCUUCAUGUUUUAUGCCUCAAAUAGCAAGUAAGGGGGAUUAAAGCACAC
rnacentral:lncRNA from 1 species